AAAACUUCUUGCCUCCACUCAUGUUGUUACUGCAUCCAGAAUUAAGAUAUCACAAUUAAUAUUUCUUCAUUUUUAGGGCACUCAUAUUGAAAAUGCCCCUAAUUAAUGGCAACUAUAACAUUCAACAAUAGACUUAUCAAACGAUCCAUGCCUCUCUCUUCCUCUUCCACAACCUCUAUAGCUUCCGCAACAUUUUUCUCUCCUAAGUAAGUUGCUUUCUUGAUUCAACUUUAGCACUUGUUUCUCUAUUACAUGGCUACUAAAUUUUUUUUUUUUUUUUUAUGCACAAGUAGGAUACUUUUUCAAUUCAUCAAUCAAGAAGUCAUCUAUCUCAUUAGAUUUCUCAAUUGAACAAACAACAUAAUCAAAUUUAGUUGUCAUGGAUCUCAGAAUCUGUCCAAUUACCACCACAUCAUUCAUCUUUUUUCCAUAAAUUCUCAUGUUGUUGGCUACUAUGAGCACUCUUGUAAAGUAGUCAUAGACCGAUUCUCCUACUUUCAUGAGUAGCAUCUUAAACUCUUUACGAAGAGCCUGUAAUUGUGUACACUUAACUCUAGUUGUGCCUUGAUACUUCAUUUUCAUUGAAUCCCAUGAGUCUUUUACUGUGUCCCUCUUCAGGAUUGUCUCCAAAAUGGUUUGAUCUAUCUCUUGGAAGAGGUAGUUCUUUGUCUUCAAAUCCUUCAAUUUCUGAUCUUCUAGAGCUUUCAAUUGAAUUUCAGUUAGAAAAGUCCUCCCAGCAUAUUUUGCGAUCUCAUUCUCUACCAAGUCCCAAUAUUUCUUAGAACGUAAGAAAUAUUCAUGAGCAUGGACCGAUGAUCAUAGAUAGCUGGUUGCACAAAGUUACUUCAUUCUCCUACUAUUACUUUUGCGACUGCAAGUCAGAAAGCCAUUGCUUUAUUUUGAGUUUUUAGGCACCAGUAAGUGGUUCUAAU
rnacentral:lncRNA from 1 species